CGCGAAUCGCCCUUCGGGGCGCAGCAGGCGCGAAAACUUUGCAAUAAGCGAAAGCUUGACAGGGCUAUCCCGAGUGCCAUCCGCUGAGGAAGGCUUUUACCCAGUCUAGAACGCUGGGGGAAUAAGGAGAGGGCAAGUCUGGUGUCAGCCGCCGCGGUAAUACCAGCUCUCCGAGUGGUGUGGAUGUUUAUUGGGCCUAAAGCAUCCGUAGCUGGCUAGGUUAGUCCCCUGUUAAAUCCACCGAAUUAAUCGUUGGAUUGCGGGGGAUACUGCUUGGCUAGGGGACGAGAGAGGCAGACGGUAUUUUCGGGGUAGGGGUGAAAUCCUAUAAUCCCGGGAAGACCACCAGUGGCGAAGGCUGUCUGCUAGAACGCGCCCGACGGUGAGGGAUGAAAGCUGGGGGAGCGAACCGGGUUAGAUACCCGGGUAGUCCCAGCUGUAAACGAUGCAGACUAGGUGUUUGGACGGCCACGUGCCGUUCUAGUGCCGCAGGGAAGCUGUUAAGUCUGCCGCCUGGGGAGUACGAUCGCAAGAUUGAAACUUAAAGGAAUUGGCGGGGGAGCAC
rnacentral:rRNA from 1 species